UCUGAUAUUAGUCCUGUUGAUUCGAUGGAUGAAUUGUACAGUAUAGUUGCACACCUUUCUUGACCAUUGUAUUGUAUCCUCCAAAGUAUCAAUACAGUCAUUUACGCGAAUCUCAAUGUUUCCCUUUCUGAAGAAACAAACUAACACGGGAAUGAGAAUCAGAAGAGUGUCAGAACUUAUGGAUGCAAUUCCGUGUGACUAUCACACCUGGCAUUGCACUACGAUCGGUGGUGCUAUAGCAACCAUUCUAUUACUAAGUUUUUUAUUUAUUUCUUCAUAUUCAAUUACGUUCUAAUCAUAUAUUAUGUAUCUCCUUUUCUCCCUCUUAUAAUUUGCCUAUAUAUGAUCAUCUCUCUUUAUAUUUUUAAGCAAAAAAAAGAGCAUCUCUAUAUACUAUAAUAUGUGCGAGAGAAAGAGAGUAAAAGAACACCGUUUGUUCUGGUUUUAGGAAUCCGAUAUAGAAAGUUAUGAUCUUUAUGGAACCAGAAUUGAAAAGUUAGGAUCUUUAUGGAACAAUCUUCAGUUUAUUGGUUUCAUGUUGCUCUGCUCUGUCUGAAUGUUCUGUUCAAUCUUCAGUGAGAUGUAUUGAAUGCUCUAUCAGUUGAGUUGAUAUCGAUGUUGUUUUAUUUUGAAACCAGGAUUGAAAAAUUAUGAUCUUUAUGAACAAUCGUUAGUUUAUUGGUUUCAUUGUUGUCUGUGAUUGACAAGCAAUUGGCAGUGGAAGUUCAAGGGAAACUCAAUCGGUACUAGUGGUCCUCAGGCUCGUCAGAUUCGUAUAGCUGAAUGUCUUGUUGGCUGGAUUGAGAACUUGCCCAAGCUGGUGGAGGAUAUAGUUCAGACAUCGAUUAACACAGGUCCACACGGUGCGUUGCGUCUUGUCCAAGGCGUUCAGGCCUUUGUUGGGGUUGGAGGAGAGUGGCUGAAUGAUAUCUCUAAGACAACAAGUGUCUGGUGGAUUACCAACUGAAAUGCAGCUUGGUCUACUGUCUCCUCUGUAUAUGAGGAAGCUGUUUGAACGCAUGGGAACUACUUAGAUUAAGCUGGGCCAGGUGAUUAGUUUUGCUAAAAUGUAGUGCGAAUUGUAUCCUUUGAUGAUCUUUGUCAAUUAUACUCCUUAUA